AACGAACGCUGGCGGCAGGCCUAACACAUGCAAGUCGAGCGCCCUUUCGGGGGAGCGGCGGACGGGUGAGUAACGCGUGGGAAUAUGCCCUUCUCUACGGAAUAGCCUCGGGAAACUGAGAGUAAUACCGUAUACGCCCUUUGGGGGAAAGAUUUAUCGGGGAAGGAUUAGCCCGCGGUGGAUUAGGUAGUUGGUGGGGUAAUGGCCUACCAAGCCGACGAUCCAUAGCUGGUUUGAGAGGAUGAUCAGCCACACUGGGACUGAGACACGGCCCAGACUCCUACGGGAAGCAGCAGUGGGGAAUCUUAGACAAUGGGGGCAACCCUGAUCUAGCCAUGCCGCGUGAGUGAUGAAGGCCUUAGGGUUGUAAAGCUCUUUCAGCUGGGAAGAUAAUGACGGUACCAGCAGAAGAAGCCCCGGCUAACUCCGUG
rnacentral:rRNA from 1 species